UACGUAGGGUGCGAGCGUUGUCCGGAAUUAUUGGGCGUAAAGAGCUUGUAGGCGGUUUGUCGCGUCUGCGGUGAAAACCCGAGGCUCAACCUCGGACCUGCAGUGGGUACGGGCAGACUAGAGUACGGUAGGGGAGACUGGAAUUCCUGGUGUAGCGGUGAAAUGCGCAGAUAUCAGGAGGAACACCGAUGGCGAAGGCAGGUCGCUGGGCCAAUACUGACGCUGAGGCGCGAAAGCGUGGGGAGCGAACAGG
rnacentral:rRNA from 1 species